rnacentral:rRNA from 1 species
UCAGGCCUAACACAUGCAAGUCGAGCGAGGACUUCGGUCCUAGCGGCGGACGGGUGAGUAACGCGUGGGAACGUGCCCUUUGCUUCGGAAUAGCCCUGGGAAACUGGGAGUAAUACCGGAUGAGCCCUACGGGGGAAAGAUUUAUCGGCGAAGGAUCGGCCCGCGUUGGAUUAGGUAGUUGGUGGGGUAAUGGCCUACCAAGCCGACGAUCCAUAGCUGGUUUGAGAGGAUGAUCAGCCACACUGGGACUGAGACACGGCCCAGACUCCUACGGGAGGCAGCAGUGGGGAAUCUUAGACAGUGGGGGAAACCCUGAUCUAGCCAUGCCGCGUGAGUGAAGGAGGCCUUAGGGUUGUAAAGCUCUUCAGCUGGAAGAUAAUG